CCUACGGGAGGCAGCAGUGAGGAAUAUUGGUCAAUGGCCGUAAGGCUGAACCAGCCAAGUCGCGUGAAGGAAGAAGGAUCUAUGGUUUGUAAACUUCUUUUAUAGGGGAAUAAAGGUAUCCACGUGUGGAUAUUUGCAUGUACCCUAUGAAUAAGCAUCGGCUAACUCCGUGCCAGCAGCCGCGGUAAUACGGAGGAUGCGAGCGUUAUCCGGAUUUAUUGGGUUUAAAGGGUGCGCAGGCGGCCUGUUAAGUCAGCGGUAAAAGCCCGGGGCUCAACCCCGGCGAGCCGUUGAAACUGGCGGGCUGGAGUUGGAGAGAAGUACGCGGAAUGCGCGGUGUAGCGGUGAAAUGCUUAGAUAUGACGAAGAACCCCGAUUGCGAAGGCAGCUUGCUGCAGCGGAACUGACGCUGAUGCUCGAAAGCGCGGGUAUCGAACAGGAUUAGAUACCCCUGUAGUC
rnacentral:rRNA from 1 species